CUUAAUGUGGCAGAAAAGUGCAAUGAACUUAAGCUUCAUGUAUAAAGAUUACUCUUUCGUUAAGA
rnacentral:tRNA from 1 species